GACGAACGCUGGCGGCGUGCCUAAUACAUGCAAGUAGAACGCUGAAACUUGGUGCUUGCACCGAGCGGAUGAGUUGCGAACGGGUGAGUAACGCGUAGGUAACCUGCCUGGUAGCGGGGGAUAACUAUUGGAAACGAUAGCUAAUACCGCAUAAGAGUAGAUGUUGCAUGACAUUUGCUUAAAAGGUGCAAUUGCACCACUACCAGAUGGACCUGCGUUGUAUUAGCUAGUUGGUGGGGUAACGGCUCACCAAGGCGACGAUACAUAGCCGACCUGAGAGGGUGAUCGGCCACACUGGGACUGGGACACGGCCCAGACUCCUACGGGAGGCAGCAGUAGGGAAUCUUCGGCAAUGGACGGAAGUCUGACCGAGCAACGCCGCGUGAGUGAAGAAGGUUUUCGGAUCGUAAAGCUCUGUUGUAAGAGAAGAACGAGUGUGAGAGUGGAAAGUUCACACUGUGACGGUAUCUUACCAGAAAGGGACGGCUAACUACGUG
rnacentral:rRNA from 1 species